GUCGGGUUCGUGUAGAGGGCUAGGACACCGCCCUUUCGCGGCGGUAACAGGGGUUCGAUGCCCCUACGGGAUACCA
rnacentral:tRNA from 1 species